AAGGAUUUAAGUUAAGCAAACUUUUAACCUUCAAAGUUAAACAUAGAUACAUAAUUUCUAAGCCUUA
rnacentral:tRNA from 1 species